CCCUCCUCCAAGCGGCCUUUGAUUUGCGUCAGCGGAACGCGAGGUAAAGCUAUAAAUAUCAGGAGUCGGUUUAUUUCAUCGUUCCUUCGUACCAGGAGUGCCUCCCUCGGUCUUUCUUUCCCGAGCUGCGGCCAUGGCGUCGGAGGGGGGGGGGGGGGGGGGGGGCUCCCUCCUCUACAACGCAGUCCGCUCCAUCUUCAUCGGUCCCUGGACGGACGGACCUCCCCCUCCUCGCCAACCUCCACUGCGGCCUCUGGCACUCUCCCCGUUUCGUGGCCACCUGAUGCUUUAAGUCCAUCGAAGGCCACACCAACAACUGGUCCUUCGGCACCUCUCGCCUCGACCUCCACGUUGCCCACCUCGCCGGUAGUCCUUAACAAGGUCAAACCACUAAUCAUAGCAUUGCUGAUGGUGACACCGCUUUGAAUGCCAUCCAGCAUCAGAUUACAAAAGUUUCUGCUGGUGACACAAUAUCUAUUAACAGGUUUGAUGUCUUCAUACUUUGAUUAACUUAUUUACUUCAUCUGUGUAGUUCUUGAACUGUCUGCUAAUCUGAUUGUUUCUUGUUUCGUUUGCAUAUCGAUUUGUCCUUUCGGAUAAAUCAUAAAUUUGAGCUUGCAUUGCUUCCCUUGGUGUUGGAAUCCUGUAGGGGAAGACUAAUAGAAAUGAAAACUGCUGCAUACAUGGUUCCCAUUCAUCAGUUCCACGACAUAUAAGAGCUCCUUUGUGCUUGCUUUCAAAAGAUCAAACUUUAAAUUGCUUGGUGAGAGAUAGACAGACACAGCAGAAUUAUGAGGGUAAUUGCAAUGCAUGAUAUCAGGAGACAUGUCCCAUGGUACCAACACAAUCUUCACCUUGCAAUAAGAGGCGAACGUGCUGAUCCUGUUACAAGGAAGUGCUUUUCGCCAACUUUACUAGAAAGUGGAGGAGCGUGAUGAAGGCCACAUUUAUGGCUUUCAUCUACAAUCGAGGACACCUUCCUUCAAGGAGGGCGAUCUUGAAGUUGAGUUGUUAUAUAUGGUGCAAGAAUCAAGAAUCAGUUAUGAUAUAACUAGCAUUGGUUUAUGGUCCUAUAUAAGCGUAAUGCAUAUGACUGUGCUGUCUUUUAAUAAUGAAAAUUUUGCUUGCAGUUUGUACCAUUUUUCAGAUUGAAGUUCCCUUCUAGAAUACUAGAAAAAGCUAAACUGCUAUGCUGUUUUGUACCACUCGGAGUUGGUCUUAAUAUGGUACUAACUGAAGAUUAAAACUGUGCUAUGGAACUAGAGAUCAUCAAAAUAGAAAUGUUUGUUGUCAUAUUUAAACUGCCCAAGCAAGAUCAUUCUGUGAACCAGAGACUUAACUUUGGUAUCCCAAGAAUUGAAAAACUUUAUGGACAACCAAACAUGGUAGUAUCGCUUAUUGUGAUAUAAAAAUUUCAAAACUAGUAGCUUGAAAAGUUCUUGGUCAUAGAAUAGAAUUACUAUUAAAGAAAAGUAAUAAUGAUAACAAAUUUUCAGGAUACUCAACCCUUUUCAGUAUGCUAUGUUGAAUUUGUUGUUAUUCUACUGAUCUGAAGGAACAAACUCUUAGGGAGGCAGAAUCUAAAUGCUCAGUUAUACAUAUCGAAUUUUUAUAAUUGCAAAAAAAUGUUGGAACUAUAAUUAGAAAUCGUAUUUAGAUUGGUUUUUGGUAAGGUUAUAACCUUUCCCAUGGAAUGGUUUUUGGAGUAGCCAAUCAAUAGGUAGGUCUUCAUGAUAAUGCAUGAUCAUGAAAUAAAUGAUCAUUGCCUGGUUGCUCUUAAGAAACUUCAUGCAAGUGCUUUAAAGCACUGGAAGUUGGGGCAUAUUGAUUUGGUGUCUAAGCAUACUUGUGCAUCAAUAAAACAUUACAGCAUGCCUAGUUUUCUGAUCCUCAACAAUUUUGUCAAAUUUCUCAUUCCUUCGAAGAAAUUCAGAUCUAUAAUUUAUUGUUUCUUAUAUAUCCUGUGACAAACAGAAUAUAACAUACGAGAACCACCAUCAAAAUGGCUUUAAAUAUGAUGCCCGGCGUUUGAAGAUGCUAUUAGAUAAAGUUAAGGGGGUAAUGAUUUUUUUUUUGUUUGCAAGUGCAUUAUUUUCUGCAGAUAUUGAAGUAUGAACGGUUCAUUUCAACAUAAAAUAAAAAAGAUAGCAUCUAUUCAGUUGCAUACGGAAACACAAAUUUAAUUUCUAUCUGUUUUUAGAGUAGAUUUAUGGUUCAUGCUUUGCCAUUAUUUCCUGUUCAGGCUAUGACUUCCCACUGCUUUGCCAUUAUUCAAUUACAUAGGGAAACACAAUAUUUGAAGUGGUUUCAAGUUUCUUCUCACUGCUUACCUGCAAGUUUACUGUUUUCGUGUUCUCAUCAUCAAACCGUCUAUUUGAAUUCAUGAAUUCAACACCUCAUGGGAGAGCUGCAAUUUGUCAAACCAUUUCUCUUUAUAAAUGCUCUGUUAUGCAUUUGACUUUUGGUUCUAUCAAACCUAGUCAACUAGUCUUACCAAAUUUCCACUUCAACAUAUUAUAUCUGCCAUAGGAACCUUCCCCCAUUUUUUUCUUGUGAAUGUAUUUGGAUAAAGAAACAACAAUUCUGCUAAAGGUAAGGAGGCUAUGGGAAACAUGAUCGUGGCUAAAAUUGUAUACAUGUCGAUGGAUUUCAAAUUGCUUCCUGGAAUAAGUGAUAAUAACCAUGUUUUUCAUUGUGGAAUGGAAAAAAUAAAGUGUAUUAAGUCCAUAAUCUGUUGCUAUCUUAUACUUCUAUUCUUCAGCUUUCACUGUUGAUGUUCUGCUAUCUUUACUUCAACCUCUCAUUUAUUUCCUUAUGUUCUUCUAGUAUUUUUUGGACAGAGAUGUACAACUGAAUCUCAUCUUUUUAGGGUGUGAAGGCCUGUGAAGGAAAGCUGAUGAGUGAUGUCAGGUGAAAGCAUCACCUAUCUGGCUUUUGUUGUAGUUGCAUUCUCAGAUCCAUGCAUUACUGGGCUCUGUGUAGUUCCUUGCUCAGAGUGAAUUUGCUGAUUAGGCUAGUUGCUCUCUUUUUAUGCCAUUUAGUACACAUCUAAUUUCCAGUUCUUUGUUAGUAAUUUUAUGUAAUUCUUACCCUUUAUCAAUCCAGGUUACAUGAUUGUUCUCAGAUGGUCUUAUAUGGGGUAUAGAUUUAUGAUCUUUUUAUAAUAUUUAGACAAGAUAGAAGCAAUGACAGUCAUCCACAACAGAACACAUAAAUCUAACUAUGAUCAGUAAGUACGGUUUUGCGCUGAAACUUCACUUCUAUGAUUUCUGAAGUAGCUUCUUUUGAAAUGAUGUCAUGCAUUUCCCGAUGUGGAGUUUAGAUCUAUGAUGUUUUUACAAUAUUACAUAAGAUAAAAGUAAGAAAAGUCCUUCAGAACAGAAGGCAUAAAUCAAACUAUGAUCAGUAUGGUUGCGGUGAAACUCCUCUUCCGUGAUUUCUGAAGUAGCUUCUCUUCUGUCUCACAUUUCCCAUUUAAUCAAUACGUGUUUCCACCAAUUCAUGUAUCUUUUUUCUCAGUUCGUUGUUUGGUGUUCAGAAUUUUACAUUUAUGGACAGGUAUGGAUGAACUACCAGUAACUGAUAUAUACCAACUAUAAUUUUUUCUUUCUAAAUGUUUGCUCUUUCUUGGGUAGUCAUGAUUAGCCGAAACUUUAGAAAGAAUGAGGGGAAUUCACUCAAGAUGUCAUCUUUGUGAUGAGAACGGUGUUCACCGUUCAGUUUAGAUUUUUUAAAUUUAAGCUUUGCUGCCAUUUAACUUGAAGGAUAUAACUACACUAUUUAAACUGGUUCAUGAACGCAUGCGGUCUCUUGAACCUCGAAAACUAAUAUUACUUGAUGUUUGAACGUGUGCGCUUCUGGUUCCUCCAGUUCAGUGCGGCUCUUGACACAAACCACUGAGGGACUGCCAUAUGUCUUCCCUUGCAAUACCUACAGGGUUCUUGACCGUUGAAUUUGUAGCGAACAUCCAAUGAAGUGCAUGCGUGUCUUAAAGCGAAAACAAUCUGGAAUGCACUAGCUAAAUGGAGUGGCGUGCCUCUGAGAAGCCAUAGGAUUGAGCGUGGUCAGAGAGCGACAAAGAGAUGCCUGGGCCUAACAUCGGAAUCCUGGGUGGGCUGUCUGGUGGAGUCUGAGGCCACCAUGGGAUAUUGUUUUUAUGAGAAUCAAUCCUAUGCAUUCGGUACCUAAAUGCAGAAUGCCUCACGACCUUCAUUGGCAGCAUUGAAUCCAGAAAUUGGCCUUCUGUCACCACCGUGGUUUCAGUCCAUGUUACAUGGACUCGGGAUUGUGUGCUGGGUACGAGUACCAAGUGCACGUUGUGUUUUUGAUCUUUUCAGUACCUAAGAUUUUUUUUUCUGACAGAACCAUAUCAGAGUAUCAUGCUAUAGUGUCUAGAUUUAGGUGUCGGGUGCAGGUAUCUAGGGUAACUUGGAGGGUACGGGUAGCAUAGGUUUCAGUAGAUGCUGGGUGAUGGUAGUCUCGGAAUUUGGACAGUGAACUGGGUGGCCAAAAAUUCUGUUCAAAUCUAUUGCCUGCCUGCUGACGGCAAAAACAAUGAACUUCGUGAAUAUUAUAUUAGCAAUAUUAUACCUCGGUAAUGGCUUAGAGCUCCACCAUCGAACUUCGUGAACCAUAUUUUGCUGGUUUUUUUAUGUUGUAAACAUGCUUUAUACGCGUUAUCAUGUGUAUUUCCCAAGAUACUCUGUAAAGCUUGUGUCAUUAAAAAUAGGCCCCCUUGAUUUUUUAUUGUAUUAUGGUUAUGUAUUUAUGUUUUUUAUUAGUAACCAUGACUAGGUUGCUGUGUUAAACUGUUAAUUUGACAGCUAGGCCAGAGGGCGCGACUGUUAAUUUCAUGACAUGGAACUUAUUUGUUCAAAUAACGGCUCCAUCCUGCAGGUUAUCAAGGGAUCUAAUUAUUUCCGUUUAGCUUUAUUUUUUCUACUGAGGAACAUAUUUGCUUAGAAAUGUUUGGUUGAUAGAAUGAAUCAAGGCGGCAUCCGUAAUUGUUGCUUCCAAAUAAAGAUAUUAAAAAUUCUCUCUUUUACUGGCUGUGACCACAAAGUUAAUCAACUGGCAUUUAACUUUAUCGCUUCAAUUAGAGAGAGGCAAAAAAGGAUUUUCUACGGGUGCUAUUUCUACAUUGAAUGUAGGACAGUUGGAAAAAAUGAGAGUGAGUUCAGAAUUCCUUUUUUUUUUUUUUGAUAAGCUGCAACUCAAUUUAUUAAGUUUAUGCCAAACUACAUGUGCAGAGGUCAUGGAGGAUUAUAGAUAAAGAUUAUUGGGCACUGAAGGGUUAAAAAACGGAAAUAGAAAAUUACAAUAUAUAGACACCCUCUUCAGAAAAGUAGCAGCGGAAGAAACAUAAAUUUCUCCAAGAAACUAAGGGGCAGCUCAAUGAAUUCCAACUUUCUUUGCUAAGCCUGAAAAAAUUUGUAGCAAUUUAGGACUGCACCAAACCUAGUUUUGAUAUGAUUUGUAAUAAUUUAAGAUAGUCGAAAAGUGCUAUUUGAAUUUUUUAGUUUUAUAUAAAUAUUUAGAAUUGAUCUAGUGUAUAAGCGAUAUAUGAUUAAAUAUAUAUCCACACCUAGAUCUUCAUAACAUUUGCACUGUAUCUUCGGACAGACCUUUUGUGAAAACCAGCCCAUAAGACAGUGAGCUAAUGGGCCAAGCCCAACAUGGCCGGCCCAUCUGGAGACCCAGAGGUGGUGAUCGCCAGCUGAGGCGGUUACAACCGCCUGACAGCCACGAUCACCACCAUUCUUCUCCCUCACUCCCCCACACCAGGGCUAUAAGAACCUAGGAGUCUUCUCAGAGAUGCUUCAUCCCUCACCCUCUCACUGCCUCUCACUCCCUCUUUCUCCUGCUACAAGGAGCUGGAUCGGGAGCGGCGGAGGAGGAGACACCCCCAGCUCGGCACCAUAACUGAGCCGCCGGAGGAGACACAGUGGCUCGCCGGAAAGGAUUCACAGCUCCUAGGAGCUAGGUAUUGGAGAAUUGGCAUUUGAUGGACAAAUUAAGAUGAAUAGGAGAUGCUAGGAACGAGGAGCGUGACAUGC